ACUAAAAAUGCAAGCUCCGACCCGAGUAAGAGGCCUCGACCCGGACAACCUGAUUCUCAAUGCCACCGUCUUCCUGUGCCAAACGCACCGGAUUCCGCCCCAAAUUCUCUGGAGAGACUAAUGGAAGUGACUCUGGCCAAAAUACAUUCCUACCUCAAGUUCAACCCAAGCCCGAAGAACCCGAACCUAACACCGAAUCCCUGCCAGGCAAAACCUUCUCUCCCGACGUCCAAUAGGGAGCCUGGGUCUUUUAAGCCACCCGGGGAUAAGGAGCAGAUGCCACCGCUAAGGAAGCGGAGGAACUCCGAUGGUGGCAGGAAUUUAGGGUCGAAUGGGCUGCCGGCUGCUGCAGGGGAGGGGAGUAGGAGGGCUUUGAGGGAUGAAGAAGUGUAUGCGCCGAUUGAUGUGCUGCCGCAGACUGGUGGAUGAUGAUGGGUAAUAUCUGGUUCUAUAUUGUAAGAGGUCUGUAUCAAGGCAUUCACAUAUCAAGUAUGAGCUCAGAGAGACUCCUGGUCUUGGCUUUCAAGCAUAUAAUGAAAGAGAUACAGGGGUCUAUAAUUAUUGGUUCAGCGUUUCAAGCCUUCCUGGGAUACAGUGGAUUAAUGGCGUUACUGUUAAGGGUUCUCAAGUCAUAAAAAUUUAGCGGCCUGUGGCUACACGUGAGAAGUUGAGUAGCCGCAUACUUCCUCAUUCAUUGUCCCAUGUCCUAAUGACUGAUCAGACUACUGUGGUGGCUGAGAUUGUCUGACCAAACCACUCCAGGGGCUGGGGCUAGCCAGAUCAUGGUUUAUUUCCCUAGAGGUCAAGGACGAUGAAAAUAGCUGCCUGUUCAUUUCUGGAAAUGACUGAUAGACAGUGAUGGUGCCCAUCUGCCUUCUGCAUUCGAUGACGUGUCCACCAAGUCUAACCAAGGCAUGUACAGAGCCUGGGGACAGAAAUUUGGCCUUGCAUUAUCAUAACCAUUUCUUGCAAUAUUUGCAUGAGAUUUUACUUCCAUUAAAUUUAAAAAUUACUUCCUAAGCUAAUCUUCCACCCUUUUAGAGAAAAAUAUCACCCAUUGUUCCUCUGUACUUUCUGAUUGUGUUAUCUAAAUAAGCCUUCCAGAAACCCUUUUUGUACUUGUGUAUCCGACUAAGUAGUGAAUUGGAUCAUGAUAGACUCCUGUUUAUGCUUACUUAGUCAAUUAGUUGUGUUUGGGGUAUUUGGGAACUAAAUAUGUGCCGAGUACGAAAUUAUAAAAGAGGGGUAGGGAACUCAUUUCAGGUAGGCAAAAAUUGAGUGGAAAUUGUGGGAGAGAGCGAGCCUCUCGAAUGCUCACAUUAUCUGUAAUUGAGAUUUCAUUUUGAUUUGCAUUCCGUUCUCAUUUUACAUUCAAUACAAAUUCAAGAAUAGUUACUGCAUUUAUUUCACAAAUUUAAUCCAUUCUAUUCCAAUACAAUAUAUAAAAUACAUCAUAAUUUCCUCACUGUCUCUCUUGUGAUUGAAGAAACUUCAUUCCAUUGCAAUUGAUCCUUUUUUCACAGCCAAAAUACAACACAACUCUAUCACAU